rnacentral:rRNA from 1 species
GACGAACCGUGCGAACGUUAUUCGGAAUCACUGGGCUUAAAGCGCGUGUAGGCGGGACGGCACGUCGGCCGCUGAAAUCCCCCGGCUCAACCGGGGAAGGGGCGCCGAUACGACCGGCCUGGAGGGACGUAGGGGGGCUGGAACUUCCGGUGGAGCGGUGAAAUGCGUUGAGAUCGGAAGGAACGCCCGUGGCGAAAGCGAGCCCCUGGACGUCUACUGACGCUGAGACGCGAAAGCCAGGGGAGCAACAGG